UACGUAGGGCGCAAGCGUUGUCCCGGAAUUAUUGGGCGUAAAGAGCUCGUAGGUGGCUUGUCGCGUCUGCCGUGAAAGCCCAUGGCUUAACUGUGGGUCUGCGGUGGAUACGGGCUGGCUAGAGGUAGGUAGGGGCAAUCGGAAUUCUUGGUGUAGCGGUGAAAUGCGUAGAUAUCAAAGAGGAACACCUGAGGUGAAGACGGGUUGCUGGGCUGACACUGACGCUGAGGCGCGAAAGCCAGGGGGAGCAAACGGG
rnacentral:rRNA from 1 species